CCUACAGAUACCACGUGGGCCUCUGCCCUGUCUCUGGGAUAAGCCCGGGAAACUGGGUCUAAUACCGGAUACGACUUCCCACCGCAUGGUGGGGGGUGGAAAGUUCCCGCGGUGCAGGAUGGGCCCGCGGCCUAUCAUCUUGUUGGUGGGGUAAUGGCCUACCAAGGCGACGACGGGUAGCCGGCCUGAGAGGGCGACCGGCCACACUGGGACUGAGACACGGCCCACACUCCUACGGGAGGCAGCAGUGGGGAAUAUUGCGCAAUGGGCGAAAGCCUGACGCAGCGACCCCGCGUGAGGGAUGACGGCCUUCGGGUUGUAAACCUCUUUAAGCAUGGUAGAAGCAAAAGUGACCGUCCCUGCAAAAAAAGCCCCGGCUAACUACGUGCCAACAGCCGCGGUAAUAUAUAGGGUGCGAGCGUUGUCCGGUAUUAUUGGGCGUAAAGAGCUUAUACGCGGCUUGUCACCUCAGAUGUGAAAACCCGGGGCUCUACCCCGGGUCUGCAUUCCAUACGGGUAGGCUAGAGUUCUGCAGGGGAUACUGGUAUUCCUGGUGUAGCGGUGAAGUGCUCAUA
rnacentral:rRNA from 1 species